GUUUUGAAUUCACUGGAGUUGGGUUGUUGCCUCUCUUUGCUGUUCAUUUAUUCUUCAUCAACUCUUUAGAUCAUUUGAACAAACUGUGAAGCUAGAAAGUGUGUGUGAGCUGAUGUGGAUUCAGCAGCAUGGAUCAGUGUGAGGACAGAGAGGAGGGAGUCCCUCCCUCUAAAACCACUCUGUGUGGGGAAGAUGAGAGCCAGAGCAAAGGUCAGAGGAUCCAUCAGAGACUCAAACCAGAACCAGAACCAGAACCAGAACCCAGCUGUGUGUCCUUUAAGAGCAACAGGUCAAUGUAUGGGAUCAUUGACUUUAAAUCUCCUGGAUCUCCACCAUC